rnacentral:rRNA from 1 species
ACCUCCAACCCAUUGUUGUCCGACUCUGUUGCCUCGGGGGCGACCUGGCCUUCGGGCUCGGGCCCCCGGCGGUCUACUUAACUCUGCAUCUUUGCGUCUGAGUAAAUAUUGAAUUAAACAAAACUUUCAACAACGGAUCUCUUGGUUCUGGCAUCGAUGAAGAACGCAGCGAAAUGCGAUAAGUAAUGUGAAUUGCAGAAUUCAGUGAAUCAUCGAAUCUUUGAACGCACAUUGCGCCCCCUGGCAUUCCGGGGGGCAUGCCUGUUCGAGCGUCAUUACACCACUCAAGCCUGGCUUGGUAUUGGGCGCCGCGUCCACCGCGCGCCCUAAUGUCGCCGGCCGAGUCGUCUUGUCUCCGAGCGUUGUGAAUUAUCAAUUCGCUUGUCGGACAGACGGCGCGCGCCGUUAAACCUUUUUUUCAGGUUGACCUCGGAUCAGG